rnacentral:rRNA from 1 species
UCUCCUGGAAACGGGUGGUAAUGCCGGAUGUUCCACAUGAGCGCAUGCGAGUGUGGGAAAGGCUUUUUGCGGCAUGGGAUGGGGUCGCGUCCUAUCAGCUUGUUGGUGGGGUAACGGCCUACCAAGGCGUUGACGGGUAGCCGGCCUGAGAGGGCGACCGGCCACAUUGGGACUGAGAUACGGCCCAGACUCCUACGGGAGGCAGCAGUGGGGAAUAUUGCACAAUGGGCGCAAGCCUGAUGCAGCGACGCCGCGUGCGGGAUGGAGGCCUUCGGGUUGUAAACCGCUUUUGUUCAAGGGCAAGGCACGGUUUCGGCCGUGUUGAGUGGAUUGUUCGAAUAAGCACCGGCUAACUACGUGCCAGCAGCCGCGGUAAUACGUAGGGUGCAAGCGUUAUCCGGAUUUAUUGGGCGUAAAGGGCUCGUAGGCGGUUCGUCGCGUCCGGUGUGAAAGUCCAUCGCUUAACGGUGGAUCCGCGCCGGGUACGGGCGGGCUUGAGUGCGGUAGGGAGACUGGAAUUCCCGGUGUAACGGUGGAAUGUGUAGAUAUCGGGAGAACACCA